GUAGGUGGCAAGCGUUGUCCGGAAUUAUUGGGCGUAAAGCGCGCGCAGGCGGUCCUUUAAGUCUUAUGUGAAAGCCCACGGCUCAACCGUGGAGGGUCAUUGGAAACUGGGGGACUUGAGUACAGAAGAGGAAAGCGGAAUUCCAAGUGUAGCGGUGAAAUGCGUAGAGAUUUGGAGGAACACCAGUGGCGAAGGCGGCUUUCUGGUCUGUAACUGACGCUGAGGCGCGAAAGCGUGGGGAGCAAACAGGAUUAGAUACCCUGGUAGUCCACGCCGUAAACGAUGAGUGCUAAGUGUUAGGGGGUUUCCCGCCCCCCUUAGUGCUGCAGCUAACGCAUUAAGCACUCCGCCUGGGGGAGUACGGCCGCAAGGCUG
rnacentral:rRNA from 1 species